UACGUAGGGCGCAAGCGUUGUCCGGAAUUAUUGGGCGUAAAGAGCUCGUAGGCGGCUUGUCACGUCGGGUGUGAAAGCCCGGGGCUUAACCCCGGGUCUGCAUUCGAUACGGGCUAGCUAGAGUGUGGUAGGGGAGAUCGGAAUUCCUGGUGUAGCGGUGAAAUGCGCAGAUAUCAGGAGGAACACCGGUGGCGAAGGCGGAUCUCUGGGCCAUUACUGACGCUGAGACGCGAAAGCGUGGGGAGCGAACCGG
rnacentral:rRNA from 1 species